GCCACGGUGUUGGAAUUGGUAGACAAGCACGACUUAGAAUCGUGUGUCGCAAGACGUGAGGGUUCGAGUCCCUCCCGUGGCA
rnacentral:tRNA from 1 species